rnacentral:rRNA from 1 species
CCUACGGGUGGCAGCAGUGAGGAAUAUUGGUCAAUGGACGAGAGUCUGAACCAGCCAAGUAGCGUGAAGGAUGACUGCCCUAUGGGUUGUAAACUUCGUUUAUAUGGGAAUAAAACGUUCCACGUGUGGGAUUUUGUAUGUACCAUAUGAAUAAGGAUCGGCUAACUCCGUGCCAGCAGCCGCGGUAAUACGGAGGAUCCGAGCGUUAUCCGGAUUUAUUGGGUUUAAAGGGAGCGUAGGUGGAUUGUUAAGUCAGUUGUGAAAGUUUGCGGCUCAACCGUAAAAUUGCAGUUGAAACUGGCAGUCUUGAGUACAGUAGAGGUGGGCGGAAUUCGUGGUGUAGCGGUGAAAUGCUUAGAUAUCACGAAGAACUCCGAUUGCGAAGGCAGUUCACUGGACUGCAACUGACACUGAGGCUCGAAAGUGUGGGUAUCAAACAGGAUUAGAUACCCUUGUAGUC